rnacentral:rRNA from 1 species
GGGCAGAGUGACAGGUGGUGCAUGGUUGUCGUCAGCUCGUGUCGUGAGAUGUUGGGUUAAGUCCCGCAACGAGCGCAGCCCUUGAUCUUAGUUGCCAGCAUUCAGUUGGGCACUCUAAGGUGACUGCCGGUGACAAACCGGAGGAAGGUGGGGAUGACGUCAAAUCAUCAUGCCCCUUAUGACCUGGGCUACACACGUGCUACAAUGGGCAGAACAAAGGGCAGCGAAGCCGCGAGGCUAAGCCAAUCCCACAAAUCUGUUCUCAGUUCGGAUCGCAGUCUGCAACUCGACUGCGUGAAGCUGGAAUCGCUAGUAAUCGCGGAUCAGCAUGCCGCGGUGAAUACGUUCCCGGGCCUUGUACACACCGCCCGUCACACCACGAGAGUUUGUAACACCCGAAGUCGGUGAGGUAACCUUUUGGAGCCAGCCGCCGAAGGUGGGACAGAUGAUUGGGGUGAAGUCGUAACAAGGUAGCCGUAUCGGAAGGUGCGGCUGGAUCACCUC